rnacentral:rRNA from 1 species
ACGGGUGAGUAACGCGUGGGAAUCUACCGUACCCUACGGAAUAGCUCCGGGAAACUGGAAUUAAUACCGUAUACGCCCUACGGGGGAAAGAUUUAUCGGGGUAUGAUGAGCCCGCGUUGGAUUAGCUAGUUGGUGGGGUAAAGGCCUACCAAGGCGACGAUCCAUAGCUGGUCUGAGAGGAUGAUCAGCCACAUUGGGACUGAGACACGGCCCAAACUCCUACGGGAGGCAGCAGUGGGGAAUAUUGGACAAUGGGCGCAAGCCUGAUCCAGCCAUGCCGCGUGAGUGAUGAAGGUCUUAGGAUUGUAAAGCUCUUUCACCGAUGAAGAUAAUGACGGUAGUCGGAGAAGAGGCCCCGGCUAACUUCGUGCCAGCAGCCGCGGUAAUACGAAGGGGGCUAGCGUUGUUCGGAAUUACUGGGCGUAAAGCGCACGUAGGCGGAUAUUUAAGUCAGGGGUGAAAUCCCAGAGCUCAACUCUGGAACUGCCUUUGAUACUGGGUAUCUUGAGUAUGGAAGAGGUAAGUGGAAUUCCGAGUGUAGAGGUGAAAUUCGUAGA